rnacentral:rRNA from 1 species
GACGAACGCUGGCGGCGUGCUUAACACAUGCAAGUCGAGCGAUGAAAGCCUUAUGAACUAUUCGUAGUGAUUGGGGCCGGAGUAGCGGCGGACGGGUGAGUAACGCGUGAGCAACCUGCCUUAAACAACGGGAUAGCCUCGGGAAACCGGGAUUAAGACCGUAUGAGACCCAGCCGUCACACGAAGAAGAGGUUAAAGAUUUAUCGGUUUAAGAUGGGCUCGCGUCUGAUUAGCUAGUUGGUGAGAUAAAAGCCCACCAAGGCAACGAUCAGUAACCGGCUUGAGAGAGUGAACGGUCACAUUGGAACUGAGACACGGUCCAAACUCCUACGGGAGGCAGCAGUGGGGAAUAUUGCACAAUGGGGGAAACCCUGAUGCAGCGACGCCGCGUGAGCGAUGAAGGAAUUCGUUUCGUAAAGCUCUGUCCAAGGGGAAGAUAAUGACAGUACCCUUGGAGGAAGCCCCGGCUAAAUACGUGCCAGCCGCCGCAGUAA